AUUGAACGCUGGCGGCAUGCUUUACACAUGCAAGUCGAACGGCAGCGCGGGGCCACCUGGCGGCGAGUGGCGAACGGGUGAGUAAUAUAUCGGAACGUACCCAGAAGUGGGGGAUAACGUAGCGAAAGUUACGCUAAUACCGCAUACGAUCUACGGAUGAAAGUAGGGGGCCGCAAGGCCUUAUGCUUUUGGAGCGGCCGAUAUCUGAUUAGCUAGUUGGUGAGGUAAAGGCUCACCAAGGCGACGAUCAGUAGCUGGUCUGAGAGGACGACCAGCCACACUGGAACUGAGACACGGUCCAGACUCCUACGGGAGGCAGCAGUGGGGAAUUUUGGACAAUGGGCGCAAGCCUGAUCCAGCAAUGCCGCGUGAGUGAAGAAGGCCUUCGGGUUGUAAAGCUCUUUUGUCAGGGAAGAAACGGUAGAGGCUAAUAUCCUUUGCUAAUGACGGUACCUGAAGAAUAAGCACCGGCUAACUACGUG
rnacentral:rRNA from 1 species